rnacentral:rRNA from 1 species
CGUAGGUGGCAAGCGUUGUCCGGAUUUAUUGGGUUUAAAGGGUGCGUAGGCGGUCCUAUAAGUCAGUGGUGAAAUACGGCAGCUCAACUGUCGAGGUGCCAUUGAUACUGCAGGACUAGAGUACUGAUGAGGUAGGCGGAAUGGACGGUGUAGCGGUGAAAUGCUUAGAUAUCGUCCAGAACACCGAUAGCGAAGGCAGCUUACUAAAGAGUAACUGACGCUGAGGCACGAAAGUGUGGGGAUCAAACAGGAUUAGAUACCCUGGUAGUCCACACUGUAAACGUUGAUCACUAGAUGUUGGCGAUACACUGCCAGCGUUCCAGCAAAAGCGAUAAGUGAUCCACCCGGGGAGUACGCCCGCAAGGUG